rfam:Stegodyphus mimosarum contig27120, whole genome shotgun sequence.
GAAUUUUUGAUUAACUCAACAAUUUGGAAG